AGAGUUUGAUCCUGGCUCAGAUUGAACGCUGGCGGCAGGCCUAACACAUGCAAGUCGAGCGGUAGAGAGGUGCUUGCACCUCUUGAGAGCGGCGGACGGGUGAGUAAAGCCUAGGAAUCUGCCUGGUAGUGGGGGAUAACGCUCGGAAACGGACGCUAAUACCGCAUACGUCCUACGGGAGAAAGCAGGGGACCUUCGGGCCUUGCGCUAUCAGAUGAGCCUAGGUCGGAUUAGCUAGUUGGUGAGGUAAUGGCUCACCAAGGCGACGAUCCGUAACUGGUCUGAGAGGAUGAUCAGUCACACUGGAACUGAGACACGGUCCAGACUCCUACGGGAGGCAGCAGUGGGGAAUAUUGGACAAUGGGCGAAAGCCUGAUCCAGCCAUGCCGCGUGUGUGAAGAAGGUCUUCGGAUUGUAAAGCACUUUAAGUUGGGAGGAAGGGCAUUAACCUAAUACGUUAGUGUUUUGACGUUACCGACAGAAUAAGCACCGGCUAACUCUGUGCCAGCAGCCGCGGUAAUACAGAGGGUGCAAGCGUUAAUCGGAAUUACUGGGCGUAAAGCGCGCGUAGGUGGUUCGUUAAGUUGGAUGUGAAAUCCCCGGGCUCAACCUGGGAACUGCAUUCAAAACUGUCGAGCUAGAGUAUGGUAGAGGGUGGUGGAAUUUCCUGUGUAGCGGUGAAAUGCGUAGAUAUAGGAAGGAACACCAGUGGCGAAGGCGACCACCUGGACUGAUACUGACACUG
rnacentral:rRNA from 1 species